rnacentral:rRNA from 1 species
AGAGUUUGAUCAUGGCUCAGAACGAACGCUGGCGGCAUGCCUAACACAUGCAAGUCGAACGAGACCUUCGGGUCUAGUGGCGCACGGGUGCGUAACGCGUGGGAAUCUGCCCUUGGGUGCGGAAUAACUUCUCGAAAGGGAUGCUAAUACCGCAUAAUGUCGUAAGACCAAAGAUUUAUCGCCCAAGGAUGAGCCCGCGUAAGAUUAGCUAGUUGGUGGGGUAAAAGCCUACCAAGGCGACGAUCUUUAGCUGGUCUGAGAGGAUGAUCAGCCACACUGGGACUGAGACACGGCCCAGACUCCUACGGGAGGCAGCAGUGGGGAAUAUUGGACAAUGGGCGAAAGCCUGAUCCAGCAAUGCCGCGUGAGUGAUGAAGGCCCUAGGGUUGUAAAGCUCUUUUACCAGGGAUGAUAAUGACAGUACCUGGAGAAUAAGCUCCGGCUAACUCCGUG